rnacentral:lncRNA from 1 species
AUGGGGUCCUCGGAAUUUGGGGUAAGGAAUCGGAUUUCGGUGACUGAUGUUGAUCUUUGGAGUGUGGAAUCCAUGAAUUCAGUAUCGGAGUUGAUGAGCUUCGUAGAAGCAUUUUUUUGUUUGUUUGGGUGUGAGAUAUUUCUUUUGCAGGGACUCGUAAAUGGAGAAGAAGGGGGAAGCUUGAUAUUUAUAGCUGGGUGGAGGGUCGAGUAUACAGAGUAAAUCUGAACCGUUGGGUGUUCAUUUUUCUUUGAUCUGGACGGGUGUGAAUGAGCUCGUGUGAUUCAC